rnacentral:rRNA from 1 species
GAAACCCAAAAGUUCGAAUGGAGAGAUUCAUCGUCAGCGAUCCUGGCAAUUGUGCGGUUCGCGAUGUCGGGGAUUUCGGUCCCGUGACACGCGUCCGUAUGAUUUAUUUGCCGGGUGUCGUCGUCGUGCACUUCUCCCCUAGUAGGACGUCGCGACCCGUUGGGUGUCGGUCUACGACCCGGGUGGGCGCCUGUCACGUGUUACGUUUCGGCGUCAUGUGCAGACCCCCGGUUGUCUGACCAGCUGCCCGGCGGUAUUCGCACGGUAUCGAGUCGCAAAUUGAACUGCGUCCGGCCCGCCGCAAGCGAGGCCAGUGUUACCCGGAUGUACGGACUUUGCACCGUCACCGGGCCUGGCCAGCUGUUGGUUGGCGGUGUCCUAGGACUGGCUCUAAAAUACCGGUCGGCGACGCUACUGCUUUGGGUACUUUCAGGACCCGUCUUGAAACACGGA